AGGAAGCACAAAGUUAUAUCAAGAUUUGUGUCAACACUUUAAUUUGGUGGUCAAACAUGAAAAGAGAGGUUGCGGAAUGCAUCAACAGAUGUCUAACUUGUCAUAGAGUCAAGGCAGAGCAUCAACAACCGAGUGGAUUACUAAAGCCGUCAGAAAUUCCAGAAUGGAAAUGAGAGCACAUCACGAUGGAUUUUGUAGCAUCCCCGAAUCCGGGUCCUAAAUCGCCGCGAAUCCGGUAUACUAAUUCUAUCACUAUUGCGGAAGAUAUAAACAUAAAUUAUUUAUACAUUAAACUUUACACACUAUUUCCCCAAAAGCGAGUAACCUUAACUAAUACAUAAUCAUAAACUAUCUAACACAUGACAAUACUAUUCUUCAACCAUACUUUUACAAAUUAGCUGCACAUUCUAUCCCAAGCUGAACUUGGCAUUUUCCUUUUCCUGUAACUGGCCGUAUUCGCCUUAUCUGCAAUGUUUUAUCAUGAUAUAGCAAGGGUGAGCAUGAAAGUUGCCCAGCAAGUUUAAAAAAAACAAGGUAAAGAUAUAUCAUGAUUGAAAGAGUUUGAAUAAUAAGCUGGCUAUCCUUCACAAUGUAGUUGUGAAUUAGCAUGAACAAAAUUUCAAAGCUGAAUGAACAUUGAAAAUGAACAUAACAAUUAUAUCUGAACUGACUGGUAAUGAAGGUGAUCAGCCUUUCAUACCUGAUGAAUACAUGCAAUAUGUACAGAGUACAAUUCAUAAGCAUAUCUGUCUGAAACCACUCUUAAAAGAGUUUAAGUAAAAAGAACUUGAAAAAAAACUUGCCUGAACCGUUGAUUACCGUAACACAAUAUAAUAAGCUUUUCCCGAAGACCUAAUAUUAAUAAUAUAGAUCUCCAGUAUUAGAAUAAUAUCAUCACAGUUAUAAAAUAACUUAAACAUAUUACCACAUAAUCUUAUCAGUCUCUUAUACACAUAAGACAUAGCUUCAAGUCAAACUAUUUCAGUCCGAGUUGAAAUCGGUACAAUUCUAUCAUCCCGACGGUCUAGUCGGACAAUUUAAGGAGUCUAAGUUUAAUUAAACUCUGCCUAAACACUUGACGAUAUCACAGAUAAUUUUCUUAUCAGUCUAAAUGAUUUUCAUAAGCUCGAAAUAUUUUUCAGAUAAUUAAUAUCAUUUAUCUAAAUUUUCCGAUCAUUAAUAACGUAUUUAAAUGAAUUAAAUACCACAUAAUUCUUUAAUCAUUAAUAUCUAUUUAAUAUCAAAUAUUAAUGAAAAUCAUUACAUAAUAUUAUAAUAUAAUGUAUAAUAUAUCACGGUAUUUUUAAUACCUUAAAAUCACAUUUAUAUGAUUUUUAAACACUUAAAAUCAUUAUCCGAUAAUUGAUAUUAAUAAUAAAAUAUUAAUAUUUUCAUGACAAAAUAUCAAAAGUUAUAGUUUAUAACUUAGAAUAUUUUUAUAACACAUAAAUCAUUUUUAUAUGAUUUUUAAAGCAUUAAUUCUAUUUUUCAAAAAUCAGAAUUAGUGCGUGACUUAAGAAAAUUAGCUACCUCGUGCUUAACUCCAGAGAUGCCCAUCUUUUGACAUAACCUUAUAUAUGUUAACGUGAUGCUCCAUUUUAAAUUUCGUGGCAAUCAGAGUUGUAGAACUCCGGUUAUAGCGAUUUCCGUCGGAAAAUCACAAAAAUUGAAAUGGUCAUAACUUGGUCGUUUUAAGCCGGAAUUAGCUCAUUUUUGGACACGAGGUACUUAAUACCAUAUAUUUUCAUUUCCCAAAAGGCCAGAAUUUAUUUCACAAUUUAAGUUUCCAAAACAGCCCCUACCAUUUCUUGGACAGCAACUUUUUGUCAUAAAACAGUUUAAGAGUCCUUUGCUAAAACUUAUAUAAAACGAGAUCUGUAACUCCGAUUAACGAUCCGUCAAUUUUGUUGGAUUCGUAACUUUCCGAACUACAGUUUUCAUCUAUCACAAUCCAUAUUUGGACAUGUUAAGCUCUCGGAAUUUAGCCCGGAAGUGGCUGCUAAAAACUGUUGCUCUAACAGUUUUUCUUACCUUUGAGUAGUUUGGGAGAAAUUUCAUAACUCUCUCCUCCGAUGUCGGAUUUAGUCCGUUUUGGAGUCUAUGGAAAGCUUAUUGAGUGUACUAUAACAUACCAAAAGCCCAGAAUUUUUAGAGCAGGCUAGCUAACCCCGAAAUUUCCUUUUUGUGGCAGCAACGUUUUGGCCAAAAAAAACAGUUUUGGGGUCCUUCACCGUAAAAUCCAUAUCUCUCAAACCGUAUGGCCAAAAAUUCUCAAAUUUUUACACAACCUGCAUAUCUACUGAUAUUAACACCCCAAAUUUUUCCAGAAUUUAUAAAGCACAAAAAGGGGACGAAAAUGCCCCUGCUACGGACUGAUCCAAAACAGUUCCUAGAAACGGGACUGUUUUCACAUAAAUCAACACCACGACUUUUAGAAACGUGAUUUUUGAGUUCUACCACUUAGGUUAACUACUAAACACAUAUAUCUAAGGUUUUUGAGUGUAGAACUAUGGAUUCAAGGUUUGAUUUACAACCAUCAAAAAUUACAUAAACAAAAAGGGUUUAUACCUUUGCUUGAUUUUCUUUCUUCUUCAAAGAUAUGAGAUGGAUCUUGAGGUGUAUGAAGAUCAAAGUCUUUUCUUCUCCUUCUCCUCUUGGAGCUGCCGAAUGGUAUCUCUUCUCACUCUCUCAUAAUGCCAUUCCUCCCUUCUCUCUUUCUCUCUUUCUCCCUCUCUAAGUCUUGGACAAGUUUGAUAAUUAAAGUGAGGCUUUUCUCACUUUUAAUCUAUAUAAGUUAUAAUUCAAGGAAUCUAGUAAAUUCUAGAUGAUUGAUAAUUGAGCUAUAAGUCACAUGCUAGGUUAUAAUUAUUCCCCCUUCAAUAAUUUGCUAGAUUUUGCAAGAUUACAUAGGAUUCUCUAGCCAUAAUUCACCAAAAUGGGACAAAAGGGUAAAAUGGACAUUUCCAUAUCAAUAAUUGAUUUUUUUUAUUUCUUAUUUAGUAUACCAAAUGUCUAAUAUGUCCCUCCUUAAUUGGGCUUAAAUUUGGGCCACCAUUUCCAUCUUUUGGCUAUCAAUAAAUAAUAUAUUGGACUUAAAAU
rnacentral:lncRNA from 1 species